UCGAUACACUAGGGGUGCUCGAAAGGGCUGUGAUGAGAACAUUUUGUUCCGAUCCCUCAUUACCCGAUCCAGGUAAUACUGGCGUGGGGAAGUGUGGUGACGCAUCA
rnacentral:ncRNA from 1 species